AACAUCGACACUUCGAACGCACAUUGCGGUCCACGGAUUCGAUUCCCGGACCACGCCUGGCUGAGGGUC
rnacentral:rRNA from 2 species